GAAAUGCGAUAAGUAAUGUGAAUUGCAGAAUUCAGUGAAUCAUCGAAUCUUUGAACGCACAUUGCGCCCGCCAGUACUCUGGCGGGCAUGCCUGUCCGAGCGUCAUUUCGACCCUCAGGUCCCCCUCGGGAGACCUGGCGUUGGGGGACGGCGCCCGUCGCCGCCCCCGAAAUGCAGUGGCGGCCACGUCGCAGCGACCUCCGCGUAGUAGCACAAACACGUCGCGGGAAGGGAGCUCGACGCGGCCACGCCGUAAAGACCGUCGACGCGACAACUCGCGGAAACACCCCCCAUAGAGUUGACCUCGGAUCAGGUAGGAAUACCCGCUGAACUUAA
rnacentral:misc_RNA from 1 species